ensembl:lncRNA
CCGGCCCUGGGCUCCCCUGCCACCCCCCUCAGGAGGGGGUGUCCUGAGACAUUUGGGGGGCUGAUGGGCUCGGGGGGUAGGGGGGGCAGGAGGAAACAAAAACUAUCCUGUAGAAACAAUAAUGACAGUUGCCUUCUUUAAAAGCUUCCCUUUAAAAACAAGAACAAGUUGGGGUUUGUCACAGAACAGAGGGGUGCGGGGUGAUGGGCCAGUGGCUGGAAGUGGGGGGGGGCAGGGAUGCCCCUGCACCUCGGGCUUUGACUAGGAAGGGUCUCAGCUCAGCAGAGUGUCUAUUUACAGGGUCCCACGCUAGGGCUGCAUAUGCGACAGGGAGUUAGGGGUUGGGGGAAGGGUGCCCUGGCCUCUGGCAACAGGGUCUCCCCAGCCCUGGCCCCAGUCCGUGGCCUGUGGCUCGGUCAACACCGGGCCUUUGGGGGGGUGGGGGCCAGAGGCUGGGGGGAGGCAGGUGCCAGCCCCCAAUUACAGUCAGUGCCUUUGAGUAAAAAGAGGGGUGCAGGGGGAAUCUAAGGCCCUGGAGGUGGGGCCCCCUGCUGCCCACCUCGACGGGGAUUGUGGAUCCAAGAUGGCAGCUCCCCGGUGGCCACAGGAAGGGCGGCCAUGUUGGAGGUUGGGGGACAGCAAGGGUGGGGGUGUGUAUGUGUGUGGAGGACAAGGGCAGGGAGACAGGAAUGCUCUGGCUGGUUGGAAGGCCAGCCCUCUCUCGGGCCCAUCCCUGAGCUGGGGAGUCGGUAAGGAGGGUCCCCGCGGACAAUGGUGGCCACUGUAUGGCUAGCAGUUGAUGAGACAUCUCAAAAUCAGAACCCAAAAAAGGGACAGAAGGGGGAGGGGGCAGGGACGCCCUCAGUGCCAGCCCACUGGGUCCCACCAGGUUGUAAGUGCCGUGAAAGAAGGCGGCGGGGGCCCCUGGGGAGUCACCCUGGCAUCCCCCUAUUCCCCAUCUUCUUCCCUUUCUCCACGCCUGGAAAUAAAACAGAUUUAUGUUGCAGUGGCCAGGAUAUAAUGGGGGCCCACAGGCAGGAAUGGGAGGCAGGGAGGCAGUCAGAGAGAUGGAGGGGGAGACCCCCACUUAGGAAGUGCCCUGAGGAAGGAGGGUGGGGGUGGGGAUGGGGCCAUUUUAACGUCCGCUCACAGCAGACAGAAAUCAUUUUUUAAGGUCUUGUCUCAUAGACUCUAGAAACCAGUGAGGGAAGGAAAAGAAAAGACCACCUGGGUCCCCAGCUUCCCCCGAGACCACCCUCACCCCUGCCGGGAUCUGGGAUCCUGAUCAGGCCUCAGAUGGGACCCCAGACCCCAAACCCGGUGGCAGUGGUGGUGGUGGUGGUGGUGGGGGUCGCCCAGGGAGUUCAGAAUCCUUGUGUCCCACAAAAACCCCAAACCAAGCCCCAAAAGCCAUCGAUGGGGUGGGGGAGAAGCGGGGCUGGGGGCUGGGGGUGGGGUGCAGGUGGGGCAAGGGUCCCCGUGGAGGGGGAGAACGGUCAUGAAGGAGAAAAAUCGGAGAAAAGCACUACCCUAGAUUCUGUGACGCUU